rfam:Tannerella sp. oral taxon BT063 isolate Cell 1/3 contig_2519917623, whole genome shotgun sequence.
ACAACGGAGAGUUUGAUCCUGGCUCAGGAUGAACGCUAGCGACAGGCUUAACACAUGCAAGUCGAGGGGCAGCAAUUUGUAGCAAUACAAAGUUGGCGACCGGCGCACGGGUGAGUAACGCGUAUGCAACCUGCCCACAACAGAAGAAUAAUCCGGCGAAAGUCGGUCUAAUACUUCAUAAAACAGGGACACCGCAUGGUGUUAUUUGUUAAAGAUUUAUCGGUUGUGGAUGGGCAUGCGUACCAUUAGGUAGUUGGUGAGGUAACAGCUCACCAAGCCUACGAUGGUUAGGGGUUCUGAGAGGAAAGUCCCCCACACUGGUACUGAGACACGGACCAGACUCCUACGGGAGGCAGCAGUGAGGAAUAUUGGUCAAUGGGCGAGAGCCUGAACCAGCCAAGUCGCGUGAAGGAUGACGGCCCUAUGGGUUGUAAACUUCUUUUGCAGGGGAAUA